GGCAGCAGUGAAUAUUAAAAAAUGUACACCAAAUUUCAUGCUCCUGUGAGAGAGAACUUACAGAGAAUGGCUGAGGAACUUAAGGGGAGCGUCCGCCAUGUCCUUGAUUAUUAGCGUAUGAUCCUGAUUAUAUUCAUGUGAAAUGUAUGCUUAUGGGGAACUAAUAUACACUUACUUUCAGAUCUAUAAGUCAAUACAUAAUAGCAGGAAAAAAUAAAAUGUAAUGUUUAACAAAACUCAACUCUCAAUAUCUCUCUCAUCUAAUGACCUACACUGCUAAAAAAAAAUACCAAAGAAACUUAAAGCAGAAUCCAAAAGAUUCAUCUGGGAAAAAUUUUCAAUUUUGCUUUUGUUAAAUAAUGAGAAUUUUUUUCAAUUUUGUUGGUGUAUCUAACGAUAUUUAUUAUUUUCCAACAAUUGUCCCUUACUAAUUGAAAAUAAAACUCACGAUGAAAAGCUUGCGCUUCAGCUCCUCUUUCCAAUGAUGUAUUGUUUAUUAAAAUCGGUCAAAUAGCGGUGAAGGUAUUGCAGAAAAAAACAGAAACUAAUCCUGUUUUCUAAAAAGGAGAGUUAAAGUCUGCAGGGACUUAAAGAGGUCGCCCUUUAAACCUAGAUGCCUUCCCAAUUGGUAGUCUUUACUGAAUUCCAGUUUUUUCUUUGUUUUGAAGGACUUUCGUGUGUCUGAUGGUGUCCUUUUCUUGGAAAUCCUGGUCAUGAGCCGACAUGCGAAACUUAUCUCUGGCUCCUCCGGGGUGACUGAUGUAUGUGUCAGCUCUGCUGCCUCCAAGGCCAUUGCAGAUGCUAGUUUGCCUCAAGAUGCCAUACGAAUAUUCUUUUAGGCCAUUUUUUUAUGCUGAAACAUGACGAUGUAUGCACCUGUGUAUAAAUAUAGCUUUUUUUAUUUUUAUUUAUUUACUUUUUUUUUUACAUGCCAGACCAUAGCGCCAGCAGGCUUUCUUGAGGGGCCUGGAUGAUUGUUGUCGGCCCUUAGCCCGUCAUGGCGCAGGCAAGUGUUUUAUAGUGACGUAAGUGACAAGCGGAAGAGGGCAGGGCGGGGCGGGAGGGGAUUCAGCCAUAACUGUCAUUUUUGGUUAUUUCUUCAGAAUAUUUUGCCACAAGCUAGUCGAGGCAUGUACAAAGACAUGUGAUUUUUUUAAAUUUUAUCGAUUCUUUUUUUUUUAUAUCCACAGCGGACGCUCUCCUUAACGUAGACUAUGGAAGCAGGCCUAAAGAAGAAUAUGAAGAAAACAGAGGUAAUAAUCAGUUUGCAGGAUAAUAAAUAGUGAUUGGUUAUGAAACACGUAAUAGAGGGAUACACAUACCUAGGACAAAUAAUUAAUGCAAACCCAAACAACAACAAAAUUAAUCAGUAAGAGAAUUCAAAAGAUAUAGUGCUUUUGAUAAACACAGUAAUGUCAUGAAUGGCAAAUUGCCAGUCUCCCUGGAAAUAAAGGUGUUCAAUCAAAGCAUCCUGUCAGUCCUAACAUACAGUUCAGAGACUUGGCAGCUCACAAAAUAUUUAAGAGAAAGCUAAAGAAGUGCACAAAGAGGUAUGGAGGAGUACAGGUAACUCUCGAUUUACGCGAGUUUGGUUUACGCGUUUUUUAAAUAAUGCGGGGUCCAAAAUCCAAAUAAAUGUGUAAUUUACACGUUUUUUCACUUAUACGCGAUAUUUAAUGGAGUGGCCCCCAGAUGUCUCACACAACUGGACUCACACGGCGCCGCGGCCCUACAGCUGACCUCAGUUCUUCCCGUGCGCCACUUGAACAACAACACAGUACCCAUGCUGCCAUGCUACUCAACAUUAUAGGGGUGGGCAGGUACCGGUACUAACGGUACCAGCUAUACGAUACGGUACCGGUACCCGACUGCUCGAUACCGGCACCAGACGGCUCGGUACCGGUACCAGACGGCUCGGUACCGGUACUAGACUGCUCGGUACCGGUACCAAUACGCUCAUGGUGUCCCUCAUUUCUUCCUCACACAAGUGAGGCUGAGUGCCUGAGUAGAUAUCUCGGUGUUAUGGAUAUUCUCUCUCUCUCUCUCUCUCUCUCUCUCUCUCUCUCUCUCUCUCUCUCUCUCUCUCUCUCUCUCUCUCUCUCUCUCCAUUGAAUGAAGUGAAUAUUUAUUUUUUGACAGAAACCUACUUCUUGUUUGAUUUACAUUGUUUUUGAUUUACGCGACCUCUUCAAGGACACAAUAUUCGCAUAAAUCGAGUUACCUGUAUAACAGAGUGACAAGAAUCAGAGAACAAGGAUUAGAGAACAAACAAAGGUAGGAGAUAUUUUGAUGACUAUUAACCCCUAAAGGUCGGCUGACGUGGUAUACCGUCAACCCAUAGAGAUCGGCUGACAUGGUAUACCGUCAAUACAUAUUUGUAGCCCAAUCGAGCAUUAUUUCGCUGGAUUGGCCACACUGCUUAUUAGUGCGUACGAAUAGGUCAUCACCCCACUCGGUAGCCAGUUGCUACCUGCUGGUGAUAAUGAGUUAAAGUGAUUUUUCGAGUUCUCACGCGUUCGGAUCGCUGUGCUCCCCUCAGCCCGACGAACGCAAUGCUCUCUCUUCUCUCUCACAACGAAACGUCAUGGUUUAGGGCGGAGUGAGAGGAUGGUUAGAGACCUUGAUGUGGCGGGUGGUAUCAGCACUCAUCCUGCACCAGCCUGUCGCCAUAGCCACGCCGCGCGAACGAACACAUACGCUCUCCGCACGGAAAGUUACAACACUUAUACACAUCAUAUCUCAGCACACACGCAGGGCAGAGACUUCUAGUUGGUCUCAUUCGAAAGAGGAAGAUUUGAUGUACAGUACAGUACAGUGCUCUCCAGGAGUAAGCAGCAGCACAACACAGCAGUCCCUCUCUCCCUUACCUGGCGUGCAGCAGUUUGGCGCAGCGGUCGUGUGCAUAGUCACAGGUAGCACACUGCACUUCCCUGAGGCCCCCCAGCACCCGACUGCACGCUGCCUCUCCCAGCAUAGUUUCCCCAUCUGAACUGCUCCUGUCAAUGGAUAAAGGGUCAGAUCCAGGACCCCUCAAUUACAAGCCAAACACCGCACCACAUCACCAGGCCCUACCCAAGUGUGCAUGCAUGUAGACAAGCAAGACUUACAUGGUGACUAGUGAUGCAGCCUGGAUGCCCUCCAUGGUGGGCUGGGUGGUGCCAG